rnacentral:rRNA from 1 species
AUGUCCAUGGCCACCUCCUUCUGGGCAUACACUUUCUCGACCUUAUCUUCCGUGCUCCAGCCUUCUGCCCCGCCGCCAUACGCCAUAGCUGUUCUUUGGCCAGAAGGGUCGCCGCCGUCGGGGAGGCGAUUAGGGCUUGCGCCGUCGGGGGCGUCGCCGCGGCGGCGCUUAGGGUCGGGGUCGGGGUCGUCGCCGCGGCGGCGCUCAGGGUCGGGGUCGUCGCCGGCGCGGCGCUCAGAGUCGGGGUCCUCGCCGGCGCGGCGCUCAGGGACGGGGUCGUGGAGGGCGCGGCGCUUAGGGUCGGGGUCGUCGGCGGUGACGGCGGGGCGCUUAGGGUUUGGCAUUAUCGUUUUUGUUUUCUUUUUGUGUGAACGCGGAGGAUGGUUCGGAGUUUAUAUAGCACGUCUCUGCUAG